rnacentral:rRNA from 1 species
UACGGGGGGGGCAAGCGUUGUUCGGAAUUACUGGGCGUAAAGGGCUCGUAGGCGGCCAACUAAGUCAUACGUGAAAUCCCCCGGCUUAACCGGGGGAACUGCGUCUGAUACUGGAUGGCUUGAGUUCGGGAGAGGAGAGUGGGAAUUCCCAGUGUAGAGGUGAAAUUCGUAGAUAUUGGGAAGAACACCGGUGGCGAAGGCGG